rnacentral:misc_RNA from 1 species
GAUGAAGAACGUAGCGAAAUGCGAUAAGUAAUGUGAAUUGCAGAAUUCAGUGAAUCAUCGAAUCUUUGAACGCACAUUGCGCCCGCCAGUAUUCUGGCGGGCAUGCCUGUUCGAGCGUCAUUACAACCCUCAGGCCCCCGGGCCUGGCGUUGGGGAUCGGCGGAGCCCCCCGUGGGCACACGCCGUCCCCCAAAUGCAGUGGCGGUCCCGCCGCAGCUUCCAUCGCGUAGUAGCUAACACCUCGCGACUGGAGAGCGGCGCGGCCACGCCGUAAAACACCCAACUCUUCUGAAGUUGACCUCGCAUCAGGUAGGAAUACCCGCUGAACUUAAGCAUAUCAAUAAGCGGAGGA